AGAGUUUGAUCAUGGCUCAGGAUGAACGCUAGCGGGAGGCUUAACACAUGCAAGUCGAGGGGUAACAGGGGUAGCAAUACCUGCUGACGACCGGCGUACGGGUGAGUAACGCGUAUGCAACCUGCCCUAUACAGGAGGAUAGCCCGGAGAAAUUCGGAUUAAUACUCCAUGUAGCAUUUUUUUCGCAUGAAUUAGAUGUUAAAGAUUUAUCGGUAUAGGAUGGGCAUGCGUCCCAUUAGCUAGUUGGUGAGGUAACGGCUCACCAAGGCAUCGAUGGGUAUGGGGUCUUAAAGGAUGGUCCCACACACUGGCACUGAGACACGGGCCAGACUCCUACGGGAGGCAGCAGUGAGGAAUAUUGGUCAAUGGGUGAGAGCCUGAACCAGCCAUCCCGCGUGCAGGAUGACGGUCCUAGUGAUUGUAAACUGCUUUUCUAUGAGAUGAAUAAGAAUUACGUGUAGUUCGAUGACCGUAUUAUAGGAAUAAGCAUCGGCUAACUCCGUGCCAGCAGCCGCGGUAAUACGGAGGAUGCAAGCGUUAUCCGGAUUUAUUAGGUUUAAAGGGUGCGUAGGUGGGCGUUUAAGUCAGUGGUUAAAGCCAUUAGCUUAACUAAUGUAUGCCAUUGAUACUGGAUGUCUUGAAUGUGGUAGAGGUAGGCGGAAUGUGUUGUGUAGCGGUGAAAUGCUUAGAUAUAACACAGAACACCGAUUGCGAAGGCAGCUUACUAUUCCAUUAUUGACGCUGAUGCACGAAAGCGUGGGGAUCAAACAGGAUUAGAUACCCUGGUAGUCCACGCUGUAAACUAUGAUCACUCGUUUUUGGCGAUAUAUAGUCAGAGACUGAGCGAAAGCAUUAAGUGAUCCACCUGGGGAGUACGUUCGCAAGAAUGAAACUCAAAGGAAUUGACGG
rnacentral:rRNA from 1 species